GUGGAUUAGAUACCCUGGUAGUCCACGCAGUAAACGAUGCAGACUAGGCGUGGGAGGACUUGACCCCUUCCGUGCCGGAGCUAACGCGAUAAGUCUGCCGCCUGGGGAGUACGGUCGCAAGACUAAAACUCAAAGGAAUUGACGGGGGCCCGCACAAGCGGCGGAGCGUGUUCUUUAAUUCGUCGCAACGCGAAGAACCUUACCAGGGUUUGACAUAUCGCUGCAUGCCCGAGAGAUCGGGAGGCCUACGAGGGUGCGAUACAGGUGCUGCAUGGCCGGCGUCAGCU
rnacentral:rRNA from 1 species